ACUGGCUGUGGGGGAACCAGGACUUUUACUGUGAAAAAUUAGAGUGUCAAAGCAGGCCUAUGCUCGAAUACAUUAGCAUGAAUAAUAGAAUAGGACGUGCGGUUCUAUUUUGUUGGUUUCUAGGACCGCCGUAAUGAUUAAUAGGGAUAGUCGGGGGCGUCAGUAUUCAGCUGUCAGAGGUGAAAUUCUUGGAUUUGCUGAAGACUAACUACUGCGAAAGCAUUCGCCAAGGAUGUUUUCAUUAAUCAGGGAACGAAAGUUAGGGGAUCGAAGACGAUCAGAUACCGUCGUAGUCUUAACCAUAAACUAUGCCGACUAGGGAUCGGGCGGCGUUUCU
rnacentral:rRNA from 1 species